rnacentral:rRNA from 1 species
AGUGAACGCUGGCGGUAGGCCUAACACAUGCAAGUCGAACGGCAGCACAGUAAGAGCUUGCUCUUACUGGUGGCGAGUGGCGGACGGGUGAGGAAUACAUCGGAAUCUACUUUUUCGUGGGGGAUAACGUAGGGAAACUUACGCUAAUACCGCAUACUACCUACGGGUUAAAGCAGGGGAUCUUCGGACCUUGCGCGAUUGAAUGAGCCGAUGUCGGAUUAGCUAGUUGGCGGGGUAAAGGCCCACCAAGGCGACGAUCCGUAGCUGGUCUGAGAGGAUGAUCAGCCACACUGGAACUGGGACACGGUCCAGACUCCUACGGGAGGCAGCAGUGGGGAAUAUUGGACAAUGGGCGCAAGCCUGAUCCAGCCAUACCGCGUGGGUGAAGAAGGCCUUCGGGUUGUAAAGCCCUUUUGUUGGGAAAGAAAAGCAGCAGGUUAAUACCCCGCUGUUCUGACGGUACCCAAAGAAUAAGCACCGGCUAACUUCGUG